UACGGAGGGUGCAAGCGUUAAUCGGAAUUACUGGGCGUAAAGCGCACGUAGGUGGUUUGCUAAGCCAGCUGUGAAAUUCCCGGGCUCAACCUGGGCACUGCAGUUGGAACUGGUAAGUUAGAGUAGGGUAGAGGGGUGUGGGAUUCCAGGUGUAGCGGUGAAAUGCGUAGAUAUCUGGAGGAACAUCAGUGGCGAAGGCGACACCCUGGACUCAUACUGACACUGAGGUGCGAAAGCGUGGGGAGUAAACAGG
rnacentral:rRNA from 1 species